UACGAAGGGGGCUAGCGUUGCUCGGAAUCACUGGGCGUAAAGGGUGCGUAGGCGGGUCUUUAAGUCAGGGGUGAAAUCCUGGAGCUCAACUCCAGAACUGCCUUUGAUACUGAGGAUCUUGAGUACGGGAGAGGGUGAGUGGAACUGCGAGUGUAGAGGUGAAAUUCGUAGAUAUUCGCAAGAACACCAGUGGCGAAGGCGGCUCACUGGCCCGUUACUGACGCUGAGGCACGAAAGCGUGGGGAGCAAACA
rnacentral:rRNA from 1 species